AGCAGCCGCGGUAAUUCCAGCUCCAAUAGCGUAUAUUAAAGUUGUUGCAGUUAAAAAGCUCGUAGUUGAAUUUCGGGGUUAGUAGGUUGGUCAUGCCUCUGGUAUGUACUGGUCUCACUGAUUCCUCCUUCCUGAUGAGCCGUAAUGCCAUUAAUUUGGUGUUGCGGGGAAUUUGGACUGUUACUUUGAAAAAAUUAGAGUGUUUAAAGCAAGCUAACGCUUGAAUACAUUAGCAUGGAAUAAUGAAAUAGGACGUUCGAUCCUAUUUUGUUGGUUUCUAGGAUUGACGUAAUGAUUAAUAGGGAUAGUUGGGGGCAUUAGUAUUCAAUUGUCAGAGGUGAAAUUCUUGGAUUUAUUGAAGACUAACUACUGCGAAAGCAUUUGCCAAGGAUGUUUUCUAUUAAUCAAGAACGAAAGUUAGGGGAUCGAAGACGAUCAGAUACCGUCGUAGUCUUAACCAUAAACUAUGCCGACUAGGGAUCGGAUGAUGUUAAUUUUUAAUGACUCAUUCGGCGCCUUA
rnacentral:rRNA from 1 species